UACGGAAGGUCAGGGCGUUAUCCGGAUUUAUUGGGUUUAAAGGGAGCGCAGGCGGAUUUGCAAGUCAGCCGUGAAAAGCUGUGGCUCAACCACAGUCGUGCGGUUGAAACUGCAUGUCUUGAGACAGCGCAGCGGCACUGGAAUUCGUGGUGUAGCGGUGAAAUGCUUAGAUAUCACGAAGAACUCCGAUCGCGAAGGCAGGUGCCGGGAGCUGUUCUGACGCUGAGGCUCGAAAGUGCGGGUAU
rnacentral:rRNA from 1 species